rnacentral:rRNA from 1 species
CCUGGGGCUGAAGCAGGUCCCAAGGGUAUGGCUGUUCGCCAUUUAAAGAGGUACGCGAGCUGGGUUUAGAACGUCGUGAGACAGUUCGGUCCCUAUCUACCGUGGGCGCUGGAAAUUUGAGAGGAUCUGCUCCUAGUACGAGAGGACCAGAGUGGACGAACCUCUGGUGUACCGGUUGUGACGCCAGUCGCAUCGCCGGGUAGCUAUGUUCGGAAGGGAUAACCGCUGAAAGCAUCUAAGCGGGAAGCCUACCUCAAGAUAAGAUUUCCCUAGGACUUUAUGUCCUCUAAAGAGCCGUUCGAGACUAGGACGUUGAUAGGUUGGAUGUGGAAGCAUAGUGAUAUGUGAAGCUGACCAAUACUAAUUGCUCGUGAGGCUUGACUAUACAACACCCAAGCAGUUG